GGGUUGUGAGGUUAAGCGACUAAGCGUACACGGUGGAUGCCCUGGCAGUCAGAGGCGAUGAAGGACGUGCUAAUCUGCGAUAAGCGUCGGUAAGGUGAUAUGAACCGUUAUAACCGGCGAUUUCCGAAUGGGGAAACCCAGUGUGUUUCGACACACUAUCAUUAACUGAAUCCAUAGGUUAAUGAGGCGAACCGGGGGAACUGAAACAUCUAAGUACCCCGAGGAAAAGAAAUCAACCGAGAUUCCCCCAGUAGCGGCGAGCGAACGGGGAGCAGCCCAGAGUCUGAAUCAGUGUGUGUGUUAGUGGAAGCGUCUGGAAAGGCGCGCGAUACAGGGUGACAGCCCCGUACACAAAAAUGCACAUAUUGUGAGCUCGAUGAGUAGGGCGGGACACGUGGUAUCCUGUCUGAAUAUGGGGGGACCAUCCUCCAAGGCUAAAUACUCCUGACUGACCGAUAGUGAACCAGUACCGUGAGGGAAAGGCGAAAAGAACCCCGGCGAGGGGAGUGAAAAAGAACCUGAAACCGUGUACGUACAAGCAGUGGGAGCCUCUUUAUGGGGUGACUGCGUACCUUUUGUAUAAUGGGUCAGCGACUUAUAUUCUGUAGCAAGGUUAACCGAAUAGGGGAGCCGAAGGGAAACCGAGUCUUAACUGGGCGUUAAGUUGCAGGGUAUAGACCCGAAACCCGGUGAUCUAGCCAUGGGCAGGUUGAAGGUUGGGUAACACUAACUGGAGGACCGAACCGACUAAUGUUGAAAAAUUAGCGGAUGACUUGUGGCUGGGGGUGAAAGGCCAAUCAAACCGGGAGAUAGCUGGUUCUCCCCGAAAGCUAUUUAGGUAGCGCCUCGUGAAUUCAUCUCCGGGGGUAGAGCACUGUUUCGGCAAGGGGGUCAUCCCGACUUACCAACCCGAUGCAAACUGCGAAUACCGGAGAAUGUUAUCACGGGAGACACACGGCGGGUGCUAACGUCCGUCGUGAAGAGGGAAACAACCCAGACCGCCAGCUAAGGUCCCAAAGUCAUGGUUAAGUGGGAAACGAUGUGGGAAGGCCCAGACAGCCAGGAUGUUGGCUUAGAAGCAGCCAUCAUUUAAAGAAAGCGUAAUAGCUCACUGGUCGAGUCGGCCUGCGCGGAAGAUGUAACGGGGCUAAACCAUGCACCGAAGCUGCGGCAGCGACGCUUAUGCGUUGUUGGGUAGGGGAGCGUUCUGUAAGCCUGUGAAGGUGUACUGUGAGGUAUGCUGGAGGUAUCAGAAGUGCGAAUGCUGACAUAAGUAACGAUAAAGCGGGUGAAAAGCCCGCUCGCCGGAAGACCAAGGGUUCCUGUCCAACGUUAAUCGGGGCAGGGUGAGUCGACCCCUAAGGCGAGGCCGAAAGGCGUAGUCGAUGGGAAACAGGUUAAUAUUCCUGUACUUGGUGUUACUGCGAAGGGGGGACGGAGAAGGCUAUGUUGGCCGGGCGACGGUUGUCCCGGUUUAAGCGUGUAGGCUGGUUUUCCAGGCAAAUCCGGGAAAUCAAGGCUGAGGCGUGAUGACGAGGCACUACGGUGCUGAAGCAACAAAUGCCCUGCUUCCAGGAAAAGCCUCUAAGCAUCAGGUAACAUCAAAUCGUACCCCAAACCGACACAGGUGGUCAGGUAGAGAAUACCAAGGCGCUUGAGAGAACUCGGGUGAAGGAACUAGGCAAAAUGGUGCCGUAACUUCGGGAGAAGGCACGCUGAUAUGUAGGUGAAGUCCCUCGCGGAUGGAGCUGAAAUCAGUCGAAGAUACCAGCUGGCUGCAACUGUUUAUUAAAAACACAGCACUGUGCAAACACGAAAGUGGACGUAUACGGUGUGACGCCUGCCCGGUGCCGGAAGGUUAAUUGAUGGGGUUAGCGCAAGCGAAGCUCUUGAUCGAAGCCCCGGUAAACGGCGGCCGUAACUAUAACGGUCCUAAGGUAGCGAAAUUCCUUGUCGGGUAAGUUCCGACCUGCACGAAUGGCGUAAUGAUGGCCAGGCUGUCUCCACCCGAGACUCAGUGAAAUUGAACUCGCUGUGAAGAUGCAGUGUACCCGCGGCAAGACGGAAAGACCCCGUGAACCUUUACUAUAGCUUGACACUGAACAUUGAGCCUUGAUGUGUAGGAUAGGUGGGAGGCUUAGAAGUGUGGACGCCAGUCUGCAUGGAGCCGACCUUGAAAUACCACCCUUUAAUGUUUGAUGUUCUAACGUGGACCCGUAAUCCGGGUUGCGGACAGUGUCUGGUGGGUAGUUUGACUGGGGCGGUCUCCUCCUAAAGAGUAACGGAGGAGCACGAAGGUUGGCUAAUCCUGGUCGGACAUCAGGAGGUUAGUGCAAUGGCAUAAGCCAGCUUGACUGCGAGCGUGACGGCGCGAGCAGGUGCGAAAGCAGGUCAUAGUGAUCCGGUGGUUCUGAAUGGAAGGGCCAUCGCUCAACGGAUAAAAGGUACUCCGGGGAUAACAGGCUGAUACCGCCCAAGAGUUCAUAUCGACGGCGGUGUUUGGCACCUCGAUGUCGGCUCAUCACAUCCUGGGGCUGAAGUAGGUCCCAAGGGUAUGGCUGUUCGCCAUUUAAAGUGGUACGCGAGCUGGGUUUAGAACGUCGUGAGACAGUUCGGUCCCUAUCUGCCGUGGGCGCUGGAGAACUGAGGGGGGCUGCUCCUAGUACGAGAGGACCGGAGUGGACGCAUCACUGGUGUUCGGGUUGUCAUGCCAAUGGCACUGCCCGGUAGCUAAAUGCGGAAGAGAUAAGUGCUGAAAGCAUCUAAGCACGAAACUUGCCCCGAGAUGAGUUCUCCCUGACUCCUUGAGAGUCCUGAAGGAACGUUGAAGACGACGACGUUGAUAGGCCGGGUGUGUAAGCGCAGCGAUGCGUUGAGCUAACCGGUACUAAUGAACCGUGAGGCUUAACCUUACAACGCCGAAGCUGUU
rnacentral:rRNA from 1 species